rnacentral:tRNA from 1 species
GGCUUCAUAGUGUAGUGGUUAGCACAUUUACUUUAUACACAGAAGGUCCUGGGUUCGUGCCCCAGGUAGAGCCA